UUUGAAAUCUGGCGUCUUUGGCGUCCGAGUUGUAAUUUGCAGAGGGCGCUUUGGCAUUGGCAGCGGUCCAAGUUCCUUGGAACAGGACGUCACAGAGGGUGAGAAUCCCGUACGUGGUCGCUAGCCUUUACCGUGUAAAGCCCCUUCGACGAGUCGAGUUGUUUGGGAAUGCAGCUCUAAAUGGGAGGUAAAUUUCUUCUAAAGCUAAAUACUGGCCAGAGACCGAUAGCGCACAAGUAGAGUGAUCGAAAGAUGAAAAGCACUUUGGAAAGAGAGUUAAAAAGCACGUGAAAUUGUUGAAAGGGAAGCGCUUGCAGCCAGACUUGCCUGUAGUUGCUCAUCCGGGUUUUUACCCGGUGCACUCUUCUACAGGCAGGCCAGCAUCAGUUUGGGCGGUUGGAUAAAGGUCUCUGUCAUGUACCUCUCUUCGGGGAGAACUUAUAGGGGAGACGACAUGCAACCAGCCUGGACUGAGGUCCGCGCAUCUGCUAGGAUGCUGGCGUAAUGGCUGUAAGCGGCCCGUCUUGAAACACGGACCAAGGAGUCUAACAUCUAUGCGAGUGUUUGGGUGUCAAGCCCGAGCGCGUAAUGAAAGUGAACGGAGGUGGGAACCUUUCGGGGUGCACCAUCGACCGAUCCUGAUGUCUUCGGAUGGAUUUGAGUAAGAGCAUAGCUGUUGGGACCCGAAAGAUGGUGAACUAUGCUUGAAUAGGGUGAAGCCAGAGGAAACUCUGGUGGAGGCU
rnacentral:rRNA from 1 species